AUUGAACGCUGGCGGCAGGCCUAACACAUGCAAGUCGAGCGGAUGAAGGGAGCUUGCUCCUGGAUUCAGCGGCGGACGGGUGAGUAAUGCCUAGGAAUCUGCCUGGUAGUGGGGGAUAACGUCCGGAAACGGGCGCUAAUACCGCAUACGUCCUGAGGGAGAAAGUGGGGGAUCUUCGGACCUCACGCUAUCAGAUGAGCCUAGGUCGGAUUAGCUAGUUGGUGGGGUAAAGGCCUACCAAGGCGACGAUCCGUAACUGGUCUGAGAGGAUGAUCAGUCACACUGGAACUGAGACACGGUCCAGACUCCUACGGGAGGCAGCAGUGGGGAAUAUUGGACAAUGGGCGAAGGCCUGAUCCAGCCAUGCCGCGUGUGUGAAGAGGGUCUUCGGAUUGUAAAGCACUUUAAGUUGGGAGGAAGGGCAGUAAGUUAAUACCUUGCUGUUUUGACGUUACCAACAGAAUAAGCACCGGCUAACUUCGUG
rnacentral:rRNA from 1 species